AUAUGAAACUGAAAGUGUGUAUAAUUCAUUCCAGAACUUUCACGAACGUUGGCACAUUUCAUAGCGAAUAUAAAACUUGAUAGGCCUACUUUCUAGCUGAAGAUGCACCCUAGAUUUAGCUAUAUUCAGAUAGUCCAAACAAAGUAGUUGCCUUGCAAACAAUGGUAAUGAAUGUCACUUGCUUAACAGAAACAUAAGCUCAUUCUCAUUCGGCGUAUUGGCCCUGAAAAAG
rnacentral:lncRNA from 1 species